CUUUGUGGCUCUUCUCUUUCUAUUCAUCUCAUGAACUACUGGACAUGUUUACAUUUGGGGAACUUAAAAAUAAAAAUGAACCAGAUAGCUGUUGGCUGUUGUCUUUUUGUGAAGAAUAAUUUUAGGGAUCAAAAGACAAAAAGAAAAACAUUCUUUGUAUCAGAGAAUAGCAUUAUGAUCUCCACACAUAGUGCCAGCUCUUUUAACUUUGAAGGUCAAAUUUCCUAGUUUUCCAAAUGUCCACUGAUUC
rnacentral:lncRNA from 1 species